rnacentral:rRNA from 1 species
AUUGAACGCUGGCGGCAUGCCUUACACAUGCAAGUCGAACGGUAACAGGUCUUCGGAUGCUGACGAGUGGCGAACGGGUGAGUAAUACAUCGGAACGUGCCUAGUAGUGGGGGAUAACUACUCGAAAGAGUGGCUAAUACCGCAUGAGAUCUACGGAUGAAAGCAGGGGAUCGCAAGACCUUGUGCUACUAGAGCGGCCGAUGGCAGAGUAGGUAGUUGGUGGGAUAAAAGCUUACCAAGCCGACGAUCUGUAGCUGGUCUGAGAAGACGAUCAGCCACACUGGGACUGAGACACGGCCCAGACUCCUACGGGAGGCAGCAGUGGGGAAUUUUGGACAAUGGGCGAAAGCCUGAUCCAGCAAUGCCGCGUGCAGGAUGAAGGCCUUCGGGUUGUAAACUGCUUUUGUACGGAACGAAAAGCCCCGGGUUAAUACCCUGGGCUCAUGACGGUACCGUAAGAAUAAGCACCGGCUAACUACGUGCCAGCCGCCGCCGUAA